AGUGAACGCUGGCGGCAGGCCUAACACAUGCAAGUCGAACGGCAGCACAGUAAGAGCUUGCUCUUACGGGUGGCGAGUGGCGGACGGGGGAGGAAUGCAUCGGAAUCUACUUUUUCGUGGGGGCUAACGUAGGGAAACUUACGCUAAUACCGCAUACGACCUACGGGUGAAAGCAGGGGAUGUUCUGACUUGGCGCGAUUGAAUGAGCCGAUGUCGGAUUAGCUAGUUGGCGGGGUAAAGGCCAACCAAGGCGACGAUCCGUAGCUGCUCUGAGGGGGUGGUCAGCUACACUGGCACAGAGACAGGGCCCCGACUCCUACAGGGAGAAACAGCGGGGAAUAUUAGACAAUGCGGCCAAGCCUGAUACUGCACUACCGGCUGGUGGAAGAACCCCUUCGGGUUUGAAAGUCCUUUAGUCGGGAAAGAAAAGCAGCAGGUUAAUACCCCGCUGUACUGACGGUACCCAAAGAAUAAGCACCGGCUAACUUCGUG
rnacentral:rRNA from 1 species